AUUAUAGUUAUGAAAUAUUAUUCAAGAUGUUUUUUAUCUGGUUCUUUAAUAAAUUUAAUUAAUAAUAUUUUUAUUUGGUCUGUGAGCAGGGAUUAGCUUGUUUAUUUUUUAUAUACGAUUUUUAUUGGGUUUUGUUGCUGGGGUUGAUGGUGCCUGGCUAUGUUGAGUUAUUAUUGGGCAUUAUUCUUAUUUUAUUAAAUAGAGUUUAUGUUAGUAUUAGGGCUGUUGUAGGAAUUUUUUAUUGUAUGAGAUAAUGGUUAUAUUAGUAAUAUUUAAUUUAAUUGCAGGUUUGAUUAUUGAUUUAAAUUAAAAUUAAUGAAUUCGGCAAAAUUAAUUUCUGACUGUUUAGCAAAGACAUUGUUUUUUGUUGGGUUAAAAAAUAAGUUCUGUCCGCUGCCAUGGGGUGAAGGACUGCAGUAUUUUGACUGUAUGAAGGUAGCAUAAUCAUUAGCUUUUUAAUUGGGGGCUGGUAUGAAGGUGAAACAGGGAUUUGCUGUUUCUUUUUUAUUGGUUGAAUUUUAUUUUUAUGUGAAAAAUCUUAGUUGAAUAAGUGGGACAAGAAGACCCUAAUAAGUUUUAUUCUUUUUUCUAAUGGGCAUAAAGGUGUUAUUGGUGUGAUUGAUUUAGGGGGGUUUAGUUGGGGCGACGGUUUAUAAAACUUAGAUUUAUUUUUAAUUUUAGAUU
rnacentral:rRNA from 1 species